rnacentral:rRNA from 1 species
GGGAUGAACGCUAGCGGCAGGCCUAAUACAUGCAAGCUGAACGGUAAGUAUUGUAGCAAUACAAUAUGAGAGUAGCGUAAGGGUGCGUAACACGUAUGCAAUCUGCCCUGUACAAGAGAAUAGCUCGGCGAAAGCCGGAUUAAUGCUCCGUAAUAUUAUGGUGUGGCAUCACAUUAUAAUUAAAGUUGCAAGAUGGUACAGGAUGAGCAUGCGUCUGAUUAGCUAGUUGGUAGUGUAACGGACUACCAAGGCGAUGAUCAGUAGGGGAACUGAGAGGUUGAUCCCCACACUGGCACUGAGAUACGGGCCAGACUCCUAGGGAGGCAGCAGAGGGAAUAUGGUCAAUGGUGAGAGCCUGAACCAGCCAUCGCCGCGU